ACCUCAAAGUACUCUGGUAAUUUGGAGAACCUCAGUCACCCAGAAAGUUCAUAUCCCCAUUACCCGCCUCCCAUCAGGAUACAUCAGAACAACACCCUGUGGUCUGGAAAUGGAUGAAGAGAAUCUAGGAGAUAUGGGGAUGGAACUCCUCAUGGCUCCCAAGCUUGCCCCACCCCUCACUUGCUCCCCAACCCCAAAGAGAUAUUUCUUCCUAAAAGUGAAAUGAAUGAAAACUCACAGAAAAUAUGACUUAUUUGGUUAAGUGCAUUGCUAAAACUUUAUUGUAACUCCAGUAAUGGAAAUAAUAAAAAUGACACCAGAAUCUCAUCACUUCAGCCAGAUAGCAGGAUUCAAAAGGUGAAAAAAUCGACACAGUCAACAAGGUGACCAUCUGGUUGAGCACCAAUACAACCACAUCAGAAAAUACAAAUACACUGAGUUGUAUGUUCAGAGGAAGGAGAAAUUUAUCUCUGGCCAAGGCAGAAGAACAUAAUGAAAUCUAAUAUGCAUUUAAUAAAAAGUGGAGCCCCUUCCAGAGAUUCGCAUCUGCCUCCACUGUUUAUUAAUUUGACAAAUACAUGCACAUCCACAGCAAUGUAUCAGAUGUUCUCUUCAUAGUAAGUAGGAAAUAAAGUACUUCUAGAGACCUGGCAAUUAAGGACAUGGAGACCUGCUGAGGAGAGGGUACUGCAAUCAAUUGGUGAUGAUCACUCUAAGAGCAAACCAAGUGCAGAAGAUUAAUGAAUUGUCAGAACAGCAGGUGAGGUAAUCCCAGGUAUCAGUGUAGCACCUGGCCAGACCUCUGAGCCUAUCCGUUAGCAGGUGCACUAACACUUUAAGAAGCUGGAAACCGAGCAUUUCCUCCGCCCUGCUUGCUCCAACAUCCUGUCCUGCUCCAGGCCGGCGUCUUCACGCCCUGCAGGCCACGCCCCUGCGCUCUGGUUGGUUCUCGCAGACAUGAUGAAACUUCCCGCACGCAUUACAGGAGCUAGGCAGCUAUAAAGUGAGAGGUACGAGGAGGCUGCACCUUCCACGCCAGCCCGCAGGCCCCAGCCCCGCCGUCUCCCGCUCACCUGCCCCAUUGGAGCCCAGAGAGCCUAUAGCUCCAGCCCACCAUGUCCUACACCACAGCUUAUGGCAAUGCUGGAUCUGUAACCCACUGAGUGAGACCAGGGAUCGAACCUGCAUCAUUCCUAGUCGGAUUCAUUUCCACUGCACCAUGAUGAGAACUCCCAUAUCUUUUUAAAUUUUGGUUUUCUCUAGGUAUAUGCCCAGGAGUGGGAUUGCUGAAUCAUAUAGUAGUUCUAUUUUUAGCUUUUUUGAGGAACUUCCAUGCAGUUUUCCAUAGUAGAAAACAUAGUGGUUAUAUCAAUUUACAUUUCCACCCCUCUCCAGCAUUUAUUGUUUGUAGCCCCCCCCCCUUUUUUUCGGCCACACCUCCAUCACAUGGAAGUUCCUAUACAAUAGCAGCAGCUUAAGCCACUGCAGUGAUAAUGCCGAAUCCUUAUCUCACGGUGCCACCAGGGAAUUCCUGUUUGUAGAUGUUUUGAUGAUGGCGAUUCUGACUGGUGUGAGGUGAUACCUCAUUGUAGUUUUGAUUUACAUUCUCUAAUAAUUA
ensembl:lncRNA